AUAACCUUCGUUGGUUGGACGGGAAAACAAAACUAUAUAUUCGAGACGCGUUUAAAGAAUAAAUUGAUUAUUAACUACUUUACUCAUAUUCAGAUUAAACAUAUGAAAAGCAAUAUAAAUCAUGGUACUAAAAAAUUGUGUGGGUAUUCAUCUUUUUUUUUUUAAUAUAAGUGUGGGUAUUCAUCUUAUACGUCUUGCAAUGAUAAUCUUUUUUUUUUUAGUCGUGCAAUGAUAAUCAAAUACACUUUUAUUGUUUUAGAUAUAAAUCAUUACUCAAAAGAGUCGAAUUCGUAUUUUCUUGAAGUAGUUAGUUACAGUUGAAAUCAUUAGAGUUGUUGAACAAAAAAAAAAAAAUCAUUAGAGUAACAGUUUGGUGGUUUGCAGUUCUCUGGAUUAAUUUAAGUUUUGUUCGGUGAAUUGGUGAUAAAACAAUACGGCUAUACAUAAGUUCUAUCAAUAUCUAAAAAAACUGUUUCGUGAUAGAAUUAAAUGAUAGAUCUCUUCAUAAAUCAGGUAUGACUUAGAAUAGAGAUCCAUGGAAUUGCAAAAAUCUAAGUAUAGACACAUACUAAUGUACUGAUAGGAAUAUUUAGAUAUAUAGUAAAUUCAAA
rnacentral:lncRNA from 1 species